AAUGGAAUUGCUGGGUCAUAUGGUAGUUCUAUUUUUAGUUUUUUGAGGAAUCGCCACACUGUUUUUCACAACAGCUGUACCAUUUUGCAUUCCCAUCAGCAAU
rnacentral:pre_miRNA from 1 species